rnacentral:miRNA from 1 species
CAAGGGUUUAAAACUCCAUACA